AGAAGCCAAGCCCAGAAAAUAUGGGUUUAAGGUUUACCUAUAUGUCCAAUACAAGAGAAAAAGAACAAUCUACUUCUUUAGAAGGUUCUACUUUGAUCACCUGAUUCCAAUUGUGAAAAAAAAUUGUGCCUAAAGAAUAUAGUCUCUUUAUAGAAUUGUUUUGAAACCUACCAUAGGUAUUUCCACCCAGGAAGAUUUCUGUAUUUGUCUCCUUGACUCUUGAGUUUUGUUGUUGUUAAUACUGGAUGAAGAGGAGACAAGAUGGAUCUGGAGGAGCACCGACAAGCAAAUGACAGAUUCCUAGGCCCUCACCAGAGGCUGAGCAGGUGUUGGUGCCAUGCUUGUACAGUCUGCAGAACCAUGAGCUAAAAUAAACCUCUUUUCUUUAUAAAUUA